rnacentral:rRNA from 1 species
AGUGAACGCUGGCGGUAGGCCUAACACAUGCAAGUCGAACGGCAGCACAGUAAGAGCUUGCUCUUACGGGUGGCGAGUGGCGGACGGGUGAGGAAUACAUCGGAAUCUACUUUUUCGUGGGGGAUAACGUAGGGAAACUUACGCUAAUACCGCAUACGACCUACGGGUGAAAGCAGGGGAUCUUCGGACCUUGCGCGAUUGAAUGAGCCGAUGUCGGAUUAGCUAGUUGGCGGGGUAAAGGCCCACCAAGGCGACGAUCCGUAGCUGGUCUGAGAGGAUGAUCAGCCACACUGGAACUGGGACACGGUCCAGACUCCUACGGGAGGCAGCAGUGGGGAAUAUUGGACAAUGGGCGCAAGCCUGAUCCAGCCAUACCGCGUGGGUGCAGAAGGCCUUCGGGUUGUAAAGCCCUUUUGUUGGGAAAGAAAAGCAGCAGGUUAAUACCCCGCUGUUCUGACGGUACCCAAAGAAUAAGCACCGGCUAACUUCGUG